rnacentral:misc_RNA from 1 species
GGGGAACAUAUUAAUUAUCUUGUUUAGACAAAAAGAAGGGAUAAGGCAAGGGGAUGGGAAGGAAUUACAAUCGCACAACACAAUCAUACCCUUUUAUUCAUAUGCUUGCCAUAUUACCAGUUGAUUAUGUUACAAGGUGACAACAACAUCAACCAAGCUUUAAUCUCAAAUUAGUUAAAAUGGACUAUAUGAAUCUUUUAUCUUCAUUUAUUUCUAUUGGACACUAAAUCCGCAUCAAUAUCCAAGACAUGUUAUGAGGUUAAAAAUGGUAAAAAAAAAUUUUCCUUCUAGAGAGAAGGUGAUAGUUUACAACCCAAUUAAUAAACUCCACGCGAAUGAAAGGGCCCUUUCUACUCUUUUUCCUAUUUUCUAUUAAAUAUAAACAAAGCCUAAAAUGAUUAGGACUCCCUUACCUUUCACUUCUCUUCAUUUCCCUCCUGGCCAUAUAUAGUGACAACUCAAAGUACAUUCAAAUCCAAUAGCCUAUAAAUGUUCCAGAACGUUAGCAAGGUUAAAAAAGGCCAGAGCAUGAGUGGGAAUGCAAACACAAAGAAGAAUAUUGAAAUACAAAUCUUAGUAAUAACAGUGGAAGCACUUUAAUACAUGUCCUAUCAAUCUCACACUCCCGGUGAACAUGGCCUACAGAAAACCUGAAAAAGCACAAGAUAGAAAAAAAAAUUGUCAAAAGUAGAAACAAGAGAGGGCAAAUUGUUUUGAUGAAUAAGAUAUUCGGUUGUUAGUUUUUGAUGCAUGAUUAGCGUCAAAAUACAUCUGAAUGUGUCACACAACGGAAAUAAAUUCUCUUAAUGUCACAAUAAAAGGCUAUAGGUUAUCUUGGACUACAACUAGCAGCCCCUUCAUAAAAUUUAGCCCAGAACAAUAUAAACUGAAGAGGUUUCCUUCAUUAUAGCAGAUUUAAGAAUUUUAAACAUAUUAGAAUAUAGUAUUUAAAUACAUUUAACUAUAAUAAGCAAAAAGCUUAGAGAUGUCAUUUCUGACAGCCAGGAUGGUUGCCUACAUUAUCAUGAGCUAAAGCAGAAAUUAUAACAAAGUUAAUUGGCUCUAGGUUAUUUUGCUUCAGGAAAAUUCCUUGGACUGAGCAUACUUGCUUAUGCACGAAAUAUGUUUUUGGAUGUUUCUAAAUAUGUAGCACAUUGUGAAAGUUUGGGGAGAUGUCAUAUCCUGAUCAGAUGCGAAACACCAAAAAACAAAAACAAAGCUUGCUGCUGCAAAAAACAAAGAGGCAUAAAUGUCUAUCUUAAAGAUGCAAGAAUCUCGUAAUGAAGCACACUGCACACCUGAACCACUUCUUGAGAUAUUCCAGGUGUUCCUUGGCCACCAUCACCAUCUACCUCAGAUUCCCUUGCUAUCCUUAAUUUUUGCCUCCAUAUAAGAAUCUAAGAAGUUCUUUGUUCACAAUCACACUUCAUACCUCUGGCAAGUAUUUCUUUACCUUCCUCUGUAAGACAGAUUUGUUAUACCAGUUCUGACUGGAGAAUACACACUGACGCUAUAAACUCUACCAAAGAGUAGCUCACUAACUGUCUAACUGAAGGAGUAGCUACCCAACCAUCUACCCCAUAAAUCACUCAUUGCAUUCGAAAUAUAAGUGCAAUCAAUGGAAGAGAACACAAGUAGAAAACAAAAAAUAUUGGAGAAUGGACUGUUGAUGCAGAUCUUGAAAACUGAACAGAUCCUGAAAAGCUUCCUGAAGUAGUUGUUACAGGACUUGUACUAGGCACGGCAACAUUUUUGCAAGAUCCAAAAGGUGCUCCAGCCUGGCAGGCAGUCACAGUGCUACAACCACACAAUGUCUGGCCAUUCAUUCUAUCCAAAACAUCAAAAACACCGCCACCAUCGCUUCUCAUGUAAAAGUUGACUGCCAAAAAAUUGGGCAUCAUAUUCCCUGCUGCUUUAUAACAGGUGCCAACCAUCUGAGCAAGUGGAGUUGAAUGCUCUUUGCAGGCUUCACUCUCAACUGGAUAUGUUGGGAAGUAAUUCUCUAGGAAAAGAGAUGCACUUCUGGAAUUCAAUGGCUUUGACUCUUUUCUAUUCGGGCACGAACCUGGUUUUACCCCAGGAUCUCCAGACUCAUUCUCCAACAUAUACUUCCAUUGAUAAGCAAUGCCUUCCUCUGCUUCCUUUGAAGCAAUAGAAGUGAAAACCAGAAGCCGGUGAUUGUCUUGCACCAUCUGAGUCACAGUGGGCCAAUCUUCACCCUUUUUGGGCAUAUUGGAGACAGGAAACCAAUACUUAUCUAAACCAGCAUUAGUGAACAGCUUUGUUAACCCUUUUGGGGUAUGCACAUAGUCCUCAAUUAUAAUGGUCACAAUCUCAGUUGGAUUUUCACUCAAGAAUGCUUCUACUUCCCUCAAGGUGUUAAUUGCUGGUCCAAAGGCUGUGAAGUUGAAACAUUGCCCUCGAAACGAAUGGCAGAGCCAAAUAUCGUCCUCAAAAUCAUACAUAUCCAACAUCAGUCCCCUUACGCCAUUCCUCAACUGAUUAGUCACAGUAUCUUCUUGAUUAUAAAAUGUCAGUCUCUGAACACCCGGCAAAGGCGGUGCAUCCACGAUGCUAAACGAAUUAUGAGUCACUAACCAUGUGUACUUGUUAAAAGGCAACCCAUCAAUAAUAGAGGUGGGAAUGAUAGCUUGGCCUCUGGUGCAGACAGGUUGAUUCUUGCCCAGAGCGGGGCAGUUUCCACAGAAAAGCCCAGGCCCACAAUUUGUAGCAGCUGUACACGAUUCCAGCACCUGGAAUUCCUAGGCGAUUCAGUUCAAUAGCUAGAAAUUAAAAAGGAAAAGCAAAAUCGCACGGAUCAUAUAUAAAUCCAGAGAGAGGGAGAAGGAAAUAUGCCUGUGCAUGUGCUAAGAAGGCAGAAGAGAGAAGCAGAUAGAGGUACAGAUACCCAAUUGCGAGGGGGGCUCUGCAUAAGCUAAGGUAGUCCGCGAAGCACGCAAACAUGGCCACUGCUUAUGCAGAGCUCGAGAACUGAGAGAGAGAGAGAGAGA